ACAAUUCAAAUAUUUCUUUUAAUAUUCUAAAACAUUCUUAUGAUUAGCUUUAUGAAUAACACUAUUAUAGACCUAGCUGGUGUAAUCGAAAGAGAAUGGAUUUUGUCAUCCUACAGACCUGAAUUUUAACCACCCUCUGCCCUUCACUAGUUCUAUAACCUUGAGCAACUUAUUUAACUUUCUAAGCUCAGGCUUCCUACUCCAUUUGCUAUAGAUACGACUGUCUCAUUGAGCUGUUGGUAGAAUGAUGGCGGAAAUCAUAUAUAAAGGGAAAAACAGGGCUUGGCCUUUCCCAGGUUUCUUCUUGAGGACAGAUGGAAGACUAGUUGAAUGCUUGAUAGCAUUCAGCCAGCUCAAUUUUCAGAAUGUUCAGAAAUGUAGGCUCCAAUGAACAACCUAGCAAGCUAGACAAAUGUCAGAAUUUUGGGUUUGAGCCAGGUUUUUUUUUUGUUUUUGGCAGUCAUCCAUGUCAUAUUUUUAAGGGCCCUAACACCGGAAGUCAGAAAUAAAGGAAAAGCAUAGUACUAGUUGAGAGGAUUACAUAGGCUUAUAGAAGAAGCUAAUCAAAUGGAAUUGGUGUGAGCUAUAUACUAACAUAGUUUCAAGGGCAGAGGAUUUUAAAUCUACUCUUAACGUGCCUACCUCUGUAGCCUUCGGUGUUCCUUUUAGCUAUUUUAAUGGUAAAUAAUGCUUCUCAUGAAUAUUGAAAUAUCUCAUGCAAAAAUGAGUCUUCUGGAAACAUUUUCCAUUCUUUUUUUGGGUUAGAACUUUGAACAACUUUCUUUGUGAUUAGAUGUAAAGGCGUUAUUUCCUUUUUUCUCUUGGUUAUAUAGGAUGUAAGUCUUUCAGACAUUAAAAUGUCAAGAACCCACAUGGAUGUGGAUGAGAUCCCUGAAGAGAAAUGUCAAAAUGCCUCACCUUUUGACUCUGUUAAUGAAGGCUCUCUUUAUAUGAUGUGUGUUGUCAUGGUGAUGAGGAACAAGGACAGAAUUCGGAAGGGAUUAGAGAAGACAUCAUAGCGUGGUAAAGGGGCUUAGCAUAUAUAAGCUGUGGAGAAAAGUGCAUCACACAGUCUCGGACAUCACACAGCCUGCUUACAGGGUGAAGAUGUAAAGAAUAUGGUCAACCAGUCUGAAGAUGAAUUAAACCAAUAGGGACAGUGACUACAUAAGGUGGCAGUUUGGGAGGAAUGAUGCUGACAGCGAUAUUAUUGUCAUACAGCUCUGCUUCCCCGGGAGGAUUAUAAGAUGCUUUCAAACUACCAAAGAAUGUGGUCAGUUUCUACCAUGUCAAUGCACUGGGAUGUUUAUAGUGGCUGUAGACGGGUGCUCACACACUAAUCUCAAUCAACGAUAAGAAGGGUAGAGCCAAGUUACUCACCUAGGUGUAUGCUAUUAAAUGGAGUUGGAUACUCCAUUGUUUGCAGUCACCGCCUACAACAAGGCAUUCUAAAAGAUGCCAAUGACUGAUGCUUUUGCCAGGACUACAGGAAGGAAAAGGACUGAAAUCAUGUUCAAUCUGGACUCUAUGUCUGUGGACCAGUCUUGGAAGCAGGCACAUCUCAGAAUCUACCCUGCCACCUACUGAGCUGAGUAAACCAAUGAAAUGUUGAAUACAAAAGACAUGAACACCAAGAAUUGAAUAUGGAUGAUAGAAUUUACACCAUGGGAUUGGUUCACCAGAGGAGCAAUGAGAAGCAGUGAGCUCACUCCCUAAUUGUGAAGCUGACCAUCACUGCUAUGAACUGUCCCCUUGAACCUCGAUUCAAACCAUUUCCUACUGAAGAUUAAAUUUUAAGAGACUUGUUAGAAAAAUAUCAGGAUGCUGGUGGGGGGGUUGUGAUUUUCCUAUAGCUUUUAUAAUAAACGGUUACAAAUUUUAGUCAAGUCUAGACUGUUGGAAAGUUGAAAGAGAAGAAAAUGCAACCUUGUUAAGGGAGGCCUUUUUGGCCAACAGGGAGCAAUCUGAGAUAAAUUGAGAUUCAAAAAUAUAUAUCCUGCAAAAUGGUUGGAAAAGCUAAAUUUUCUGGCUCUAGGCAGUCAACAAAAAUGAAAGCAGAAAUGCAGGAAACUCAGUAAUUAGUUUCCUAUUACUGCUGUAUUGAGUCACCACAAAUUGGUGGCUGUAAAACAGCACAAAUUUAUUCUCAUUCAGUCCUGGAGGUGAGAAGUCUAAAUCAAGUGUUGGCAGGGCUGGGUUCCAUUUGGAGGCUUCAGAGGAGAAUCUGUUUCCCCUCCUUUUUCACCUUCUAGAGGCGGCUAGAGCACACAAACUCAGGAUCCCUUCCUGGGAUCACUACAGCGUCUAGUUUCCCUGCCCCAUAUCCAACGACCCUCUCUGACCUUCUUGCUUCCCUCUUAUCCGAGCCCUUGUGAUCAUCACAUUGGAUCCACGCUGAUAUUCCAGGAUACUCUCUCCAUCUCAGGAUCCUUAAUUUAAUCACAUCUACAAAGUUCCUUUUACCAUGUAAGGAAACAAUUCACAGGUUCUGAGAAUUGGAAUGAGGACAUCUUUGGGAGGUGGUCACCAUUUAGCCUACCAUACUUAGCUAGAGGUAUUGGGAGACCCAGAAAAAGGUUGGACCCUAAGGUCCACCCAACUACCUCCUAAUAUACACCUUCUGCAUGAUCAAAAGAGGGAAGUCCUCGAUAACAUUGUUUAAAUCUUUGGAUCCAGACUAGUACAAAGCCAACUCUGGAUUUGCCAGUUAAAUGAUCUGUUAUUAUAAAUUUUAAGAUUCUCUAAAUUGAAUUUCUGUAAUCUGCAGCUCAAACAGGCCUGAUGUGUAUAC